GGUGUUCCGGUUAUUGUGUCAGCAGUAGCGCCGGGUAGCUAAGUUCGGACUGGAUAAGCGCUGAAAGCAUCUAAGCGCCAAGCCAUUCCCAAGAUGAGAUUUCCUUGAAGGUAACUUCGAAAGAGUCCUGGUAGACCACCAGGUUGAUAGGUCAGAUGUGUAAGCGCAGUAAUGCGUUAAGCUAACCGAUACUAAUGACUCGAAGACUUUUCAUU
rnacentral:rRNA from 1 species